AGAAUCAACGCUGGCGGCGUGCCUAACACAUGCAAGUCGAACGCGGUUAUUUCAGCUCCGCAAGGCGUUGGGAUAACUGAGUGGCGAACGGGUGAGUAACACGUGGGUGAUCUACCUUCGAGUGGGGGAUAACGUUCCGAAAGGAACGCUAAUACCGCAUGACGUUCUGGGUUUGAAGACCUGGAAACCAAAGCCGGGACCGCAAGGCCUGGCGCUUGGAGAGGAGCCCGCGUCCGAUUAGCUAGUUGGCGGGGUAACGGCCCACCAAGGCGACGAUCGGUA
rnacentral:rRNA from 1 species